GUGGAUUAGAUACCCGGGUAGUCCACGCCGUAAACGUUGGGCACUAGGUGUGGGGGGCUGUCAACGCCCUCCGUGCCGUAGCUAACGCAUUAAGUGCCCCGCCUGGGGAGUACGGCCGCAAGGCUAAAACUCAAAGGAAUUGACGGGGGCCCGCACAAGCGGCGGAGCAUGUUGCUUAAUUCGAUGCAACGCGAAGAACCUUACCUGGGUUUGACAUGUAGGGAAAAGCCAUAGAGAUAUGGUGUCCUUCGGGGCACUACACAGGUGGUGCAUGGCCGUCGACAGCU
rnacentral:rRNA from 1 species